GACGAACGCUGGCGGCGUGCCUAAUACAUGCAAGUAGAACGCUGAAGCUUGGUGCUUGCACCGAGCGGAUGAGUUGCGAACGGGUGAGUAACGCGUAGGUAACCUGCCUGGUAGCGGGGGAUAACUAUUGGAAACGAUAGCUAAUACCGCAUAAAAUGGAUUAUCGCAUGAUAAUUCAUUGAAAGGUGCAAAUGCAUCACUACCAGAUGGACCUGCGUUGUAUUAGCUAGUUGGUGGGGUAACGGCUCACCAAGGCGACGAUACAUAGCCGACCUGAGAGGGUGAUCGGCCACACUGGGACUGAGACACGGCCCAGACUCCUACGGGAGGCAGCAGUAGGGAAUCUUCGGCAAUGGACGGAAGUCUGACCGAGCAACGCCGCGUGAGUGAAGAAGGUUUUCGGAUCGUAAAGCUCUGUUGUAAGAGAAGAACGAGUGUGAGAGUGGAAAGUUCACACUGGACG
rnacentral:rRNA from 1 species